rnacentral:rRNA from 1 species
CAGUAGCCGCGGUAAUACGUAGGGUGCAAGCGUUAAUCGGAAUUACUGGGCGUAAAGCGUGCGCAGGCGGUUUGUUAAGACAGAUGUGAAAUCCCCGGGCUCAACCUGGGGACUGCAUUUGUGACUGGCAAGCUAGAGUCUGGCAGAGGGGGGUGGAAUUCCGCGUGUAGCAGUGAAAUGCGUAGAUAUGCGGAGGAACACCGAUGGCGAAGGCAGCCCCCUGGGCCAACGCUGACGCUCAUGCACGAAAGCGUGGGGAGCAAACAGGAUUAGAUACCCCAGUAGUCCCUGUCUCUUAUAC